rnacentral:tRNA from 1 species
GGUCCUCGACGGUGAGAAUAUUGCGCGUACGGUCGUUAAGGCUGACCAGGCUGGCGUACAGGGUGGUGGUCUUGCCCGAGCCGGUCGGGCCGGUGACCA